rfam:Anaerobium acetethylicum strain GluBS11 genome assembly, contig: Ga0116910_1035
UGAUACCAGGGUCAAAAGGUCAUGUGUUUCAUGGUUGCAUGAAAAAACAUGACUUUGGGACCAGCAAAACAUGAGAAAGCAGCCCGAACAGGGCGAAUUUCGAGAUAAUAUAAAUAAUCCGGGCACAAGCCCGGUCCGGAAGGAGGAAACUUUGGCAGGGGUAUGCA